rnacentral:rRNA from 1 species
AACGAACGCUGGCGGCAUGCCUAACACAUGCAAGUCGAACGAGACCUUCGGGUCUAGUGGCGCACGGGUGCGUAACGCGUGGGAACCUGCCCUUAGGUUCGGAAUAACUCCCCGAAAGGGGUGCUAAUACCGGAUAAUGUCUUCGGCCCAAAGGUUUGUCGCCGUUGGAUGGGCCCGCGUUGGAUUAGCUAGUUGGUAGGGUAAAAGCCUACCAAGGCGAGGAUCCAUAGCUGGUCUGAGAGGAUGAUCAGCCACACUGGGACUGGGACACGGCCCAGACUCCUACGGGAGGCGGCAGUGGGGAAUAUAGGACAGUGGGCGGAAGCCUGAUCCAGCAAUGCCGCGUGAGUGAUGAAGGCCUUAGGGUUGUAAAGCUCUUUUACCCGGGAUGAUAAUGACGGUACCGGGAGAAUAAGCUCCGGCUAACUACGUG